rnacentral:lncRNA from 1 species
UGGGCUCGCCGUCUCCAAGCAACUGGACGCGGUGCCUCAGACAAACUGCAGUGCUCCUCUCUCCCCUCUGCAGUUCGUGGCUCGCUUCCCUCCUCCUCCUUCUUUGUGACCCUUGUUCUUCUCUCACAGAAAGCCACUUGGACCUUCCCACCAGCAGCCCAAAAGCUGCCACCUUCCAGAUAACAAAUGGUGCCAGUAGCCUUGACACUGACUUUUAAUUCCAACGCAGAUGGCUGGCAGCUCGCUCGAUAAAGACAAAGCACAUCAGUGGAGCAGAUCUUGCACCGCAUUCAGCUUGGUGCUGCUUUAGGCUCAGAUUAGCAUUUUAAAUCUUCCCAAGGCGUUGGUGACCGACAGCUAAGUGGAUUUGACCCUGGUUUGCAGACGGGUCUCAAAAAGUAUUUUCUCAGAGGGUGACAGAAUGAUGUUCCCUGGAAGGUUGUGCAAGGACUGGCUCUUGAUGCAGAGGUGUUUCAUUACAUCUUUUAAAAGGGUGUUUGGAAUCUAAACACGCUAUGAACUGUAACAGUCCCACGGGCAAUGCUUGCAGGAGUUACAAUGGGAGGGAGUGCUGGAUAAACUGGACAGCUGCAGCCUCUGUGCAGAUGGCUGAAUGCAAUCCUCAGUGUUGCAAAACGAAGCCAACUACGACCAGAAGCGGCCGAGAGCCCCGUGGAAAUCAGCUGCCACCCCAGGGGUACCCGCUGGCAGUCUCCGGAAGGCAGAGCCCGGACCGAAUACCCUACUGUGCUUUUCCUCAUCGGCUUUUCCUUUUUCUCUGCGGUGGCUGAGGUUCCUAGUACAGGACAAGGUAGAUAAGUUUAAUAGUAAAGAACACCAGUGUCUUGAUUGAGCAUCCAUCGGGAGAGACAGACUGCGAUCCAGCCCGGCUCAGGGACCCACUACGGCAGGGCUGACGUAAAGGACACAUCAAGACCGCACUGGGUUAAAAAAGAAGCCUGAAAGAGUGUAAAAGAAGAGAGGGACAGCUCUGAGCAGACUGUCGCCAACAGCUUGGCAUCACUGACCUUCGUGUCACCAGAAAGAAAGUGCAGCCUCUGCUUCACUGGAAUGAACACGAGAUGCUUCGAAAUAAAACAGCAACCUUUGGUUUGGUAAAGAGUUAC